UCACUCAGUUGGAGUUUUUUGGGAUAAACCACAGGGGGAUUUAGGAGGAUGAAGCUGCCCUGCCCAUCCCACACCUCUCCCACGUGUGUCUCCAUUCCAUUGCAGAUUUUUGGGAUUUUUGGGGGAUUUUUUGGGAUACACCACAGCAGCGCCCUGGCUGAGCAGCGACACCUCCCCACAGAGGGCCGAGGAUGAUGAUGAUGAUGAUGAUGAUGAUGAUGACGGGGCACAGGGAGGGGACCCCGCUGGUGCUGCAGGGUCACACCCAGGCCUUGAGCUGGCGGCUGCAGCCCCUGGCCCAGCACAGAGCCCCCUC
rnacentral:lncRNA from 1 species